AGAGUUUGAUCAUGGCUCAGGAUGAACGCUAGCGGCAGGCCUAAUACAUGCAAGUCGAACGGUAAGCCUCCCUUCGGGGAGGCACGAGUGGCGGACGGGUGCGUAACGCGUAUGCAACCUGGCCCCUACCGGGGGAUAGCCCGGGGAAACCCGGAUUAAUACCCCAUAAGACCUUAUUGCCACAUGGCAGAGAGGUUAAAGAUUCAUCGGUAGGGGAUGGGCAUGCGUGCCAUUAGCUGGUUGGCAGUGUAACGGACUACCAAGGCUACGAUGGCUAGGGGGUCUGAGAGGAUGAUCCCCCACACUGGUACUGAGAUACGGACCAGACUCCUACGGGAGGCAGCAGUAGGGAAUAUUGGUCAAUGGGCGAGGGCCUGAACCAGCCAUGCCGCGUGCAGGACGACGGCCUUCUGGGUUGUAAACUGCUUUUAUACGGGAAGAAAACGCCCAUGCGUGGGCAACUGACGGUACCGUAGGAAUAAGCACCGGCUAACUCCGUGCCAGCAGCCGCGGUAAUACGGAGGGUGCGAGCGUUGUCCGGAUUUAUUGGGUUUAAAGGGUGCGUAGGCGGGUUCUUAAGUCAGUGGUGAAAGCCCACAGCUCAACUGUGGAACCGCCAUUGAUACUGGGGGCCUUGAGUACCGUUGGGGCAGGCGGAAUUUAUGGUGUAGCGGUGAAAUGCAUAGAUACCAUAAAGAACACCGAUAGCGAAGGCAGCCUGCUAAACGGUAACUGACGCUGAGGCACGAAAGCAUGGGUAGCGAACAGGAUUAGAUACCCUGGUAGUCCAUGCCGUAAACGAUGAUCACUCGAUGUGUGCGAUAUACGGUACGCGUCCAAGCGAAAGCGU
rnacentral:rRNA from 1 species